AAUGAACGUUGGCGGCAUGGAUUAGGCAUGCAAGUCGAGCGCGAUGUGUAGCAAUACACGGAAAGCGGCGGAAGGGAGAGUAAUACGUGGGAAUCUGCCCUUAGACCUGGGAUAGCAGCGGGAAACUGCUGGUAAUACCAGAUAAUGUCUAUGGACCAAAGGUGUGAUUCCGUCUAGGGAUGAGCCCACGUCCUAUUAGCUAGUUGGUAGGGUAAUGGCCUACCAAGGCGAUGAUGGGUAGCGGGUGUGAGAGCAUGACCCGCCUCACUGGGACUGAGACACUGCCCAGACACCUACGGGUGGCAG
rnacentral:rRNA from 1 species